ensembl:lncRNA novel transcript
AGUGGGGGGCAGGGUGUGUUGAGCGUCCCGGGUCCAGUGUCUCCGGCGUGUCCUGCAUCUCGGCAGCCAGCUCCUCUGCAGCUCAGGCCCCGUGAGUCACAGCCGCUUCCUCAAAUGCUUUGGCUGACCGCAUCCCCCCGCUCCGCCAGAACCCUGGAUGCCGGAGCCCUCCCAGCGAGAGCCGUGUUUAUUUUACUUUACAUACAUUUUCCAACCCGGAGCGGCUUCAACACAUGCAGCUCUUAGGCCCGGGCCGCACAUCUCAGAAGCCCCGUGUGCGACUUUGACUGCCGCACGAUCCUCUGCCGGGGGAGGUGGGCCCGCUGCGCUUUGGGAGCACCCGCGCCCGACACUGAGGUCUCGGUGCUGUCUUCGGCCUCUUCGCCCCUGAGGGUCCCCUCUGGGAGCAGAGGCGGUCGGAAAACCCUGGGGCUGAAGUGCAGGCUUCGGGAGGACGCGACCUGCCAAGAUCAGCUCCCGGCACGUGAUGGGAGCCUGGCUCACCUUCCCCCAGCACACGAUGGGGCUGCAGCCUCCCCGGUCAGCCUGGCCUGCUGGAAAGGAGCAGCUCUGUCUCCAGAGGCUUCUGGCGAAGCCCAUGGCCUCCCAAUGUUGGCUGAUUUAUAAGGAAAGAGGGGAAAGGCCAAGUGUGGAUGCCAUUAGCAUAACCUAAUCCAGACCCCAUGACAAGUCCAGGAUCCUGCAGGGAGAGGGCAUCCUUGAACGUGAAGGACUGGGUUUGGAAACUUGGCCUCCCGGAAGAAAGGUCUCCGGGCCCACCCACACCCCCCUUGUGGACGCCCCCGCAGUCUAAUACACUCCACAGUAAGACGGACCAGGAACAGCAGCAGCCUCCGGUGUCGGCCCAGUGAUCCGGGAGCUCAGAGUCUUUGCGUCCUCCAGAAUUGUCCUGUGAGUGACUCCCGCAGGAUGGAGACUUUUGUGUCUGGCUUCCUUCACUUCGCAGCAGGCUUCGCGGGACCCGUGUGGUGGCACCAGCGUCCAGCCCUUGGUACUGCUGAGUUGUAGGUUGUGGGACAGGUGGAGGUACCACAGUUGCUCACGGGUUCACCUGUGGAUGGGCAUGUGGGCUGUUGUGAGUGAAGCCACUUCAGACGUUUGCGUGCAGGUUUGGUGGGGACGUGCAGUUUCAUUUCUUUUGAGAGUGGGAUUGCUGGAGCCUAUGUUAAGGGUACGUUCAACUCAUCAGCUCAACUGUCUUCCAAAUGGCAGCCCCGUUUUCCACCCCCGCCAGCAACGCCCGCGACUCCAGGCGCGCUGCAUUUUCAUCAGCACCUGGCAGUGGUGAUUCAUAAUGCUUUAAAUGUUAAUUUCCCUCAUGACUAGUGAUGUUAAACAUCUUAUUAAACAUCUUAGGUAUUAUUUCAUGUGUUAUUUCAAAUCUUUUACCUACUUUUUAGUGGAUUAUAUUUGUCUUCUUAGUAUUGAGUUCUAAGAGUUAAAUAUUGUGGGUACAAGUCCUCUAUCAGAAAUGUGUUUUGUAAAUACUUUCUUCUAGUCUGUGGUUUGUCUCUUCGUUUUCUUAAGUAUGUCUUUAAAGAGCAGAGGCUUUUGAUUUGGAUAAAGUUCAGCUUGUCAGUUUUUUCUUUUAGGGUUAUGUUUUUGUAUCCUAUCUAAGAAUCUUUGACUAUCAAAUUCUCACAAAGCAGUUUUUUGUUUUCUUCUAGAUGUUUUACGGUUUUAAAUUUUACCUUUAGGUCUACAACCAUUGUGAUUUAGAUUUUGUAUUUAAUGUAAGGUAUAAGUUGAGAUUCAUUUCUCUCUGUUUUUGGAGACUUAUGUCCAGCUAUUCCAGAACCAUUUGUUGGAAAGAGUAUCUUUAUCCCAACAAGUUAUGUGGGCACUUUGUUGAAAAAGAUCUAUUGACCAUAUAUACAUGCGUUUAUUUCCAAGACUCUAUUUUGUUCUGUUGACCGACUUGUUUGUCCUUAUGACAAUAUCACACUGUUUUGAUUACAGUGGCAUUAUUGUACCUCUUGCAAAAAUCAAGUGUGAAUCUUCCAAAGAAGAUUUGGAAGAUUUUCUCUUUCAAAGUUGUGUGAGUUAUUUAAGUGCCUUUUCAUUUUCAUAUAAGUUUAGAAUUAGCUUGCAGUUUCUAAAAGAAAAAAAAAAAGGCUGAUGAGACUUUGAUUGUGAUUCCAUUGGAUCUAUAGCUCAGUUUGCAGGGAUUUACAUCUUAACAAUACUGAGUCCUCAAAUCCAUGAACAUGGUACAUCUCUCCAUUUAUUUAGGUCUUCUUGUAUUUUUUCUCAUCAACAUCUUAUAGUUUUAAGUAAACAAAUUUUGCACAUAUUUUGUAAGAUUUAUCAUUAAGUAUUUCAUGUUUGUGAUGUUAUGGUGAAUAUUGUUUUUAAAUUCAAUUUCCUAUUGUCCACUGCUAGUAUACGGAAAUACAAUUGGUUUUCAUACAUUAACCUUAUGUCCAGCAACUUUGCUAAAUGUAUAAGCUCUUACACAUUUGCUGGUAGAUUGUUUAGGAUUUUCUACAUAGAUGAUCAUGUUGAGUGCAUAUAAAGGCAAUUUUAUGUCUUAUUUCCAAUCUGCAUGCCUUUCACUUCUUUUCCUGGCUUUAUUUCAGUGGCUAGAACCUCUAGCACAGUGUUAAUAAGAGUGAUGAGAGUGACAUUCUGACUUUGUUUCCAGUCUUUCUGCUUUGAUCAUUAUCAUAUUCUUUCUUUUCCUUACUUCGAAUUUAUUGUGCUCUUCCUUUUCUAGGCUUUUAAGGGUAGAAGCUUAGAUUACUGAUUGGAGAACUUUCUUCUUUUCACAUAUAUACAUUUAAUGCUAUAAAUGUUCUUCCAAGCACUGCCUUGCCAGCACCUACAAAUUGUCAUAUGUAUUUUCUUUUUUGCUCAAUUAAUUUUUUUUUCUAAUUUCUCUUUGGAUUUUUUGAUCUAUGAGUCAUUUUAAAAUAUGUUCUUUAACUUCCAAAUAUUUGAAGAGACAUACUAUUAAUUUCUGGCUUAAUUCUGUUGUGGCCACAUAUUUCACAUAACUUCACUUUUUAAAAUUUGUUGAGAUCUGUUUUAUGGCCUGGAAUAUGGUCUAUCUUGGUGAAUGCUCCAUGUGCAUUUGUACAAAAGUGUGUAUUCUGGCCAGGAGUGGUGGCUCACGCCUGUCAUCCAAACACUUUGGGAGGCCGAGGC